rnacentral:rRNA from 1 species
GACAGAGGAGGCGAGCGUUAUCCGGAGUCAUUGGGCGUAAAGGGUACGUAGGCGGCUAGUCAAGUCUGAGGUUAAAGACCACAGCUUAACUGUGGGAAGGCCUUGGAAACUGACUGGCUAGAGUGGGGCAGGGGUUGCGGGAAUUCCCGGUGUAGCGGUGAAAUGCGUUGAUAUCGGGAAGAAUACCUGAGGCGAAAGCGCGCAACUGGGCCCUAACUGACGCUGAGGUACGAAAGCUAGGGGAGCAAAUGGG